rnacentral:rRNA from 1 species
GAUGAACGCUAGCUACAGGCUUAACACGUGCAAGUCGAGGGGUAACGAGAGGAAAGCUUGCUUUCCUUGUCGACGACCGGCGCACGGGUGAGUAACGCGUAUCCAACCUGCCCCCAACUAAGGAAUAACCUUGCGAAAGUAAGACUAAUACCUUAUAAUUUCCUCAGAUGUCAUCUGACGAGGAAUAAAGAUUUAUCGGUUGUGGAUGGGGAUGCGUCUGAUUAGCUUGUUGGCGGGGUAACGGCCCACCAAGGCAACGAUCCGUAGGGGUUCUGAGAGGAAGGUCCCCCACAUUGGAACUGAGACACGGUCCAAACUCCUACGGGAGGCAGCAGUGAGGAAUAUUGGUCAAUGGGCGGAAGCCUGAACCAGCCAAGUAGCGUGCAGGAUGACGGCCCUAUGGGUUGUAAACUGCUUUUAUACAGGAAUAAAGUUAGCCACGUGUGGUUAUUUGUAGGUACUGUAUGAAUAAGGACCGGCUAAUUCCGUGCCAGCCGCCGCAGUAA